rnacentral:tRNA from 1 species
GGUGGCUCAGUGGUAAAGCGCUUGCCUUGUAUGCAUGAGUCCCUGGGUUCAAUUCCCAGCACCA